UACGUAGGGUGCGAGCGUUGUCCGGAAUUAUUGGGCGUAAAGAGCUCGUAGGCGGUGUGUCGCGUCGGCCGUGAAAACCUGCAGCUUAACUGUGGGCUUGCGGUCGAUACGGGCAUCACUGGAGUUCGGCAGGGGAGACUGGAAUUCCUGGUGUAGCGGUGAAAUGCGCAGAUAUCAGGAGGAACACCGGCGGCGAAGGCGGGUCUCUGGGCCGAUACUGACGCUGAGGAGCGAAAGCGUGGGGAGCGAACAGG
rnacentral:rRNA from 1 species